rnacentral:rRNA from 1 species
GGAGCUUGCUCCCGGAUGUUAGCGGCGGACGGGUGAGUAACACGUGGGUAACCUGCCUGUAAGACUGGGAUAACUCCGGGAAACCGGAGCUAAUACCGGAUAGUUCCUUGAACCGCAUGGUUCAAGGAUGAAAGACGGUUUCGGCUGUCACUUACAGAUGGACCCGCGGCGCAUUAGCUAGUUGGUGGGGUAAUGGCUCACCAAGGCGACGAUGCGUAGCCGACCUGAGAGGGUGAUCGGCCACACUGGGACUGAGACACGGCCCAGACUCCUACGGGAGGCAGCAGUAGGGAAUCUUCCGCAAUGGACGAAAGUCUGACGGAGCAACGCCGCGUGAGUGAUGAAGGUUUUCGGAUCGUAAAGCUCUGUUGUUAGGGAAGAACAAGUGCGAGAGUAACUGCUCGCACCUUGACGGUACCUAACCAGAAAGCCACGGCUAACUACGUGCCAGCAGCCGCGGUAAUACGUAGGUGGCAAGCGUUGUCCGGAAUUAUUGGGCGUAAAGGGCUCGCAGGCGGUUUCUUAAGUCUGAUGUGAAAGCCCCCGGCUCAACCGGGGAGGGUCAUUGGAAACUGGGAAACUUGAGUGCAGAAGAGGAGAGUGGAAUUCCACGUGUAGCGGUGAAAUGCGUAGAGAUGUGGAGGAACACCAGUGGCGAAGGCGACUCUCUGGUCUGUAACUGACGCUGA